CAGGGUUGGGGUCUGAGAAGUCAGUACUCUUAGAGCGUCUCCACCGUGGCUUGGGCUCUGGUCCUCCUCACCCUCGUCACGCAGGACACAGGUGA
rnacentral:pre_miRNA from 1 species